AGCUGGUUCUCUCCGAAAUGCAUUUAGGUGCAGCGUUGCGUGUUUCUCGCCGGAGGUAGAGCUACUGGAUGGCCGAUGGGCCUCAACAGGUUACUGACGUCAGCCAAACUCCGAAUGCCGGUGAGUGAGAGCGCAGCAGUGAGACGGUGGGGGAUAAGCUUCAUCGUCGAGAGGGAAACAACCCAGACUACCAACUAAGGCCCCUAAGCGUGUGCUAAGUGGGAAAGGAUGUGGAGUUGCACAGACAACCAGGAGGUUGGCUUAGAAGCAGCCACCCUUGAAAGAGUGCGUAAUAGCUCACUGGUCAAGUGAUUCCGCGCCGACAAUGUAACGGGGCUCAAGCACACCGCCGAAGUUGUAGAUUUCGCACAUAGACAAGCCUUCGUGGUUCAGUCGUGCGGAGUGGUAGGAGAGCGUCGUGUGGCGAGUGAAGCGGCGGAGUGAUCCAGCCGUGGACGCCACACGAGUGAGAAUGCAGGCAUGAGUAGCGAAAGACGGGUGAGAAACCCGUCCUCCGAAAGACCAAGGGUUCCAGGGCCAGGUUAAUCCGCCCUGGGUAAGUCGGGACCUAAGGCGAGGCCGACAGGCGUAGUCGAUGGACAACGGGUUGAUAUUCCCGUACCGGCGAACAACCGCCCAAGCUAAUCCAGUGGUGCUAAGAGUCCUAACCCGGCACUUGUUGAUCCCUUCGGGGUGAGACGGGCCGGUCUAACGCUCGACCCCAUGCUGGUGCGGUUAGCGUAUGAACAGGUGUGACGCAGGAAGGUAGCUGAGCCAGGCGAUGGUAUCCGUAAGGUGAACCUGGUGUAAGGAUGUAGGGCUGACGAUAGGCAAAUCCGUCGUCUGUACGCCUGAGAUCCGACGCGUACCCGUUAAGGGGAAAUCAGUGAUCCUAUGCUGCCGAGAAAAGCAUCGACGCGAGGUUGCAGCCGCCCGUACCCGAAACCGACUCAGGUGGUCAGGUAGAGAAUACCAAGGAGAUCGAGAUAAUCGUGGUUAAGGAACUCGGCAAAAUGCCCCCGUAACUUCGGGAGAAGGGGGGCCGGACACGUGACCGGAUUCACUCCGUGAGCGUUGAAGGCCGCAGAGACCAGUGGGAAGCGACUGUUUACUAAAAACACAGGUCCGUGCGAAGUCGCAAGACGAUGUAUACGGACUGACGCCUGCCCGGUGCUGGAAGGUUAAGAGGAAGGGUCAGCCUCACGGCGAAGCUCUGAAUUUAAGCCCCAGUAAACGGCGGUGGUAACUAUAACCAUCCUAAGGUAGCGAAAUUCCUUGUCGGGUAAGUUCCGACCUGCACGAAUGGCGUAACGACUUCCCAGCUGUCUCAACCGCGAACUCGGCGAAAUUGCACUACGAGUAAAGAUGCUCGUUACGCGCAGCAGGACGGAAAGACCCCGUGACCUUUACUAUAGUUUGGUAUUGGUGUUCGGAGUGGCUUGUGUAGGAUAGGUGGGAGACUGUGAAGCGGGCACGCUAGUGUUCGUGGAGUCAUUGUUGAAAUACCACUCUGGUCACUUUGGAUGUCUAACGUAGGACCCUGAUCGGGUUCAUGGACAGUGCCUGAUGGGUAGUUUAACUGGGGCGGUUGCCUCCCAAAGAGUAACGGAGGCGCCCAAAGGUUCCCUCAACCUGGUUGGCAAUCAGGUGGCGAGUGUAAGUGCACAAGGGAGCUUGACUGUGAGACUGACAGGUCGAGCAGGGACGAAAGUCGGGACUAGUGAUCCGGCAGUGGCUUGUGGAAGCGCUGUCGCUCAACGGAUAAAAGGUACCUCGGGGAUAACAGGCUGAUCUUGCCCAAGAGUCCAUAUCGACGGCAUGGUUUGGCACCUCGAUGUCGGCUCGUCGCAUCCUGGGGCUGGAGUAGGUCCCAAGGGUUGGGCUGUUCGCCCAUUAAAGCGGUACGCGAGCUGGGUUUAGAACGUCGUGAGACAGUUCGGUCCCUAUCCGCUGCGCGCGUUGGAAAUUUGAGAAGAUCUAUCCCUAGUACGAGAGGACCGGGAUGGACGAACCUCUGGUGUGUCAGUUGUUCUGCCAAGGGCACCGCUGAUUAGCUACGUUCGGACCGGAUAACCGCUGAAAGCAUCUAAGCGGGAAGCCGUCUUCGAGAUGAGAUUUCCAUGCACCUUGAGUGUGAGAGGCUCCCAGCAGACUACUGGGUUGAUAGGCCGGAUGUGGAAGCGGGGACUAACGACCCGUGGAGCUGACCGGUACUAAUAAGCCGAAGACUUGACACACA
rnacentral:rRNA from 1 species